GCUUUCCUCCUUUGCCCAGCAGCACAUAUACCAAAAUAAAUGAUACAGAGAAGAUUAGCAUGGCCUCUGUGCAGGGAUGACAUGCAGAUUCAUGAAAUGUUCCAUCUUUUU